rnacentral:rRNA from 1 species
CCUACGGGAGGCUGCAGUGGGGGAUAUUGGACAAUGGGGGGAACCCUGAUCCAGCGACGCCGCGUGAGUGAAGAAGUAUUUCUGUAUGUAAAGCUCUGUCAGCAGGGAAGAAAGAAAUGACGGUACCUGACCAAGAAGCCCCGGCUAACUACGUGCCAGCAGCCGCGGUAAUACGUAGGGGGCAAGCGUUAUCCGGAAUUACUGGGUGUAAAGGGAGCGUAGACGGUUAAGUAAGUCUGGAGUGAACGGCCGGGGCCCAACCCCGGGACUGCUCUGAAACUAUUGAACUUGAGUGCAGGAGAGGUAAGCGGAAUUCCUAGUGUAGCGGUGAAAUGCGUAGAUAUUAGGAGGAACACCAGUGGCGAAGGCGGCUUACUGGACUGUAACUGACGUUGAGGCUCGAAAGCGUGGGGAGCAAACAGGAUUAGAUACCCCAGUAGUC